rnacentral:lncRNA from 1 species
UAGGUGUUGCUUCAUCCAAUUUAACGUCGGCGACCCAUUGGAGAAUCCAUGUUUUUUCUUUUUUUAUCCAUAAAUUUUUUUUGACAUAUAUAAGAGGAUUCUCGUAAGAGAGAAGAAUAUAAAUGUGUAACAUCCCAACCGGUCCGACUAAAUAUUAUCCUAUUUACGUCUAGACCCUCGAAGAUUUUAUUUAGGAUGGUUCUUGAGGUCUACAAAUCUGUAGAUUU